UUCAUUGCUAUUAUGCAAUAAAUUAUCACAAAGUAUAUUUUUCUUCCUUAUCUUGUCUUGUUGCUUCAAUUUUAAAAUGCCUUAAUCGAAGAUUCCUUCAUUUAUCUCAAUCUUAUUUUCAGCCAAUGCACACAAAAUCGAAUGGAAACAAGGCCAACGACAUUUGGUGUUGGUCAUCAAUGACCACGAUUUUUAUCAGAAAAAAGUUGGACUAAAUGUUACAUACUAUAUAUGCCGGUGUAAAAAAUCGUUGGGGUAAAUUUUUAAAUCAUAAAAUAAAUAGUGAAUUCAGCCUCUCUGAUCGUAUGUACAAAUAGAUAGAAAACGUCGAAGAAGAACAAUAAAGCGGCACCUGGCCUGACUGGUUGGAGAAAUAGAGAAUCAUGCACAUAGCUUGCUGUAACAAAUAUGCAUCUGUAAUAGUUCAAACGUUGAAAGUAUGACACAUUGCACUUAGAACCCAGGUGCCGCUGUAUUGUUUACUAUUUUCAUGAUCGGAAAGGCUGAGUGAAUCUAUCAUAAUGAUUGUAUUUCUCUUUUUCAAGGUGUCCAGCAAAGUGCCGUUAUAAACCUGAAUCCGGUGAAUUCCAGUUCAUUUGUUUAGAUCACAAUCAUGGCGUGAAUUCAUCCAAACGACAUUGAUGUCGUUACGAUCUAAAUAACUUCAAAAAGAACAAUUCUAGAAGGAAUUUCAAUGAAUUAACAAUUUAACAAAGAUAGCUAUGAAUAAAAAAUAAACGACAUCAUACGUACAAAUAAGUUUAAUUCAAAUUCAAAAUUCAUCUAAUCUAGCUAAAAAAGAAGUAUUUCAUUCAUUUAAAAUUUGCUUGGAAAAAUGGUUUAAUCGAAGAUUCAUUCAUUAUUUUCAAUUUUAGUUCCAGUCAACUCACCAAAAAUCGAAUGGAAACAAGGCCAGCGCCAUUUGAUAUUGGUCAUCAAUGGUCACGAUUUUCAUCUGCAAAAUGCUGGCCCAAACUUUACGUACUAUAUUUGCCGGUGUAAAAAAGUUUUCGGAUGUCCUGCGAAGUGCCGUUAUAAACCCAAAUCUGGGGAAUUUUCGUUCAUUUGUCUCGAUCACAAUCAUGGCGUGAAUUCAUCCAAGAAAUAUAAACUUGAUCUUGCAUAGAAAUAAGUUUAAUUCAAAUUCAUAAUUCGUCUUACCAAAAAUCAAAAUGACUGGAGACAAGGCCAAAACUAUUUGGUACUAGUUACGAUGGAUACAAUUUUCAUACGAAAAAAUCAAUGCGCCAAAAAUCGAAUGGAAACAAGGGACACGAAAUUUGCUGUUGGUCAUUAAUGGCCACGAAUUUUAUCAGAAAAAAGUUGGACUAAAUGUUACGUACUAUAUAUGCCGGUGUAAAAAUGCCUUGGGGUGUCCUGCGACGUGCCGUUAUAAACCUGAAUCGGGCGAAUUUAUGUUCAUUUGUCUUAAUCACAAUCAUGGUGUGAAUACAUUGAAACGACCAUGAUUGAUGGCUACGCAAUCUUAAAAAGGUGAAUGAGCCGAAAAUCGAAUGGAAACAAGGUCAGCGUCAUUUGGUAUUGGUCAUCGAUGGCCACGCAUUUCAUCGAAUUAAAGCUACUCCAAACGUUGAGUACUAUGUGUGCCGGUGUAGCAGAACUUUAGGGUGCCCUGCAAAAUGUCGUCACAAUAUUGAAACUGGGGGAUUUUUGUUCAAUUGUCUCAACCACAAUCAUGGUGUGAAUACAAUCAAACGACAAUCGUUUGUUCCAAAAAAGGAGAGUACUUUUUGAAGUGACAGUGAUAUCGAUGGCAGCUGAAUGACUUCAAAUAUCUAUGAAAAAAAAAACCAAAGAAUUUUCUAAUAAACUCGUCUCAAAAAUAUUUGGUUCCAAACAAGUGUCCAAACCGAAAGUUUGGAUGGAAAAGAGUAAACGGGGUUCAAACAUUCUUGUUGUCGACGGCUAUAGGUUCCACAGAUAUGGCACAGGAAAAGGCCGAAAGGUCGUUCAAUACCUCUGUAGAUGCUACAAAGGUGAAAUCACGAAAUUAUACAUAUAUUAAAAUUUAAAAGUAAUCGGUAGUUUUUCUUUCUUCAUUCUAUGUGCCAAUGAUCCACUUACAAAGCGUUGGGGUUUGUUUUCUUUUCGCACUGAUUAUGAUCUGAUUCAUCAUAUUAUGAUAGUAACAAAUCUGUUUCUCUUCUCCAGAUGCAAGGCCAAAUGUUCAUUGAAUGUUGACGAGAAGCGAUUGAAGUUCAACAGUUUGAAUCAUAACCAUGGAAUGAAUACAAAAUAGCUAUCACCACAACUGGCAGUUGUUUCAUUGACGGAAAAAAAUCACUUUCUUUACUCACAUCUAUUAAUUAAGUUUAUUACAGCAAUAAUUUGCUAGCAACGUGUUGUGCUAUAUUGUAAUGAAAAAUUAUUAUGCCAUUAUUCAUGGUUAAUUCUUCAGUGAAUGUUAAAUAAUACCUCAGUAUCAUCAUAAUAAAAUGAAUAACUAUCCUUUGAGACGUUUAUUGAUGAGCCUUUUCAGUUCCCGUCAUAUUUACAGAGCAAAAAAGUCUCAAAUUAAAUAAUUGUUUAUUCUAAUCAAUUUGAUUUAUAUUUUCAGGCCAUAGUUUCGGUUCACAUGUAAAUAGUGGUCCAGGUCAAUCUAUUCAUGGCGUGAAUUGGCACUGUGAGCGCAAUAAUAAAGGCGGUCGAAAAUUGGUGGUGAACGGCCAUCGAUUUAACAGAUAUGGCUCUGGAGUUCGAAAGAGUUAUCAUUGGUAUUGUCACCACUACCAGACUCUUGGUUGUCGAGCAAAGUGCAUUAUGGAUGCCAAUGAAACCAAUUUGAGAAUCAUCAAUUUUGACCACAAUCAUGGCCACAACACUAACAUACGAGCACGACCAAAACAAUCACCGAAAGUUAAAGAAGAACACAACGCAUAACUACGCCGAAUCAUGCACGCAUUUUAACCUUUUUUCACUAAUUAAAGCCUAGUUUACAACUCAACAGAAAAAAUCCUCGUGAUUUUUUUUUAUAUUAGCCUUGCGCAUUUAUUAGUCAAUAAAACUUGGAGUAUUUUUUGCAAGAUUUUUUUUUGUCGACGGAUGAACUAGGCUUAAAUCCAAAUAUAUAUUCGCUGUACAGUAAAUAAAGCUACACCAUAGGCAAUUAAUAAAUUGUUCCAAUUGAGCAACACAAUUAAAUACCAAUUCCUUUUCUUCAUUAUUGAAUUUUAAUUUUAAUCAAUUGUACCCAAUAUGCGCUUUAUAGUUUGUAACAAUGUUAACUUAUAUGUUUUAUAAAUAUUUUAGGUCAAUAUUUGGUGCAAACUCCCUUUGGCCAACGAAACGAUCAAUCGAGUGAAAGUCCAAAUCAAAAUUGGUACAUAGAAACCAAUGAGAGAGGCAAUCGAUUUCUCAUGGUGGCUGGACAUAAAUUCUAUAGAUAUGGCUCUGGAAUUCGGAAAACCUACUCAUGGUGGUGUCGCUUGUAUCGAAAUUUGGGAUGUCCAGCCAAAUGUGUUAUGAACGCUGAUGAAACGUUUCUCAAAAUUAUCGAUGCCAAUCACAACCAUGGCAUUCACACAGCAGAACUCCAUCGAAAGGAAACACCUGUCGCAAAACUCAAAGUGAUUAAAAUCAAAUCCGAACCAAAUGUUUGAGACGCGUCGAAUGAAUAUCUUCCCACAAAUUGGAACUGAAUAAAACAAUGAUAUUACUUGACUGCUUUUUGGUGCAUAUUCCAUAGUGAUUCCUAUUCUUAAACGCUAAUCAUGAUCUUGACACACUUCCAAUUUGCAUUGAUUUUGACUCAUAAAAAUUUGACGUUCAUAAUUCAUUUUCAUCUUAUUUUUGUUCAUAAUAAAACCGAAGAGUAUUUUUUUUGAUUUAUCGCCUUUGGUUCAAGCAGAAAUAGUGUUAAAUUGCAGAUGAUUCAUCUGUCAGAAAUAAGUAUUGAAAAAUAAAGGAUUUUG